UACGAAGGGGGCUAGCGUUGCUCGGAAUCACUGGGCGUAAAGCGCACGUAGGCGGAUUGUUAAGUCAGGGGUGAAAUCCUGGAGCUCAACUCCAGAACUGCCUUUGAUACUGGCGAUCUCGAGUCCGGGAGAGGUGAGUGGAACUGCGAGUGUAGAGGUGAAAUUCGUAGAUAUUCGCAAGAACACCAGUGGCGAAGGCGGCUCACUGGCCCGAUACCUGACGCUGAGGCACGAAAGCGUGGGGAGCAA
rnacentral:rRNA from 1 species